AUGACUCCUGGUGCAGCCAUGGAUGCGAGUGGCUGGAGUGGAGGACAGGUGCAGGACAUUCGAGUCAUGAAGGACUGGACUCAAAGUGUGGCAAAUGGUACCCCCAAGACUGGGUGGCUCAGAAUUGGUCUCAGGCCAAAUUCUGCCAUGGUGGCUGAAUUUGAUUCCUUAUUCAUCUCGGACUCGUAUGAAAAGUGCACAAGCAAGCAGAAGAACUUUUUGGACACCUGCUGUGAGCUAGCAUCAUCUGUAUCCAGAAGAAUAGACAUUCAUUUAAGAAAACUAGACAGCUUCCGCAGCUUCCCACGGGACGAGCUGAUGCCGCUCGAGUCGGCCUACCGGCACGCGCUGGACAAGUAUAGUGGCGAGCACUGGGCUGAGAGCGUGGGCUACCUGGAGAUCAGCCUGCGGCUGCACCGCCUGCUGCGCGACAGCGAGGCCUUCUGCCACCGCAACUGCAGCGCCGCGCCGCAGCCCGAGCCCGCCUCCGGCCUCGCCAGCUAUCCAGAGCUGCGCCUCUUCGGGGGCCUGCUGCGCCGCGCGCACUGCCUCAAGCGCUGCAAGCAAGGCCUGCCAGCCUUCCGCCAGUCCCAGCCCAGCCGCGAGGUGCUGGCGGACUUCCAGCGCCGCGAGCCCUACAAGUUCCUGCAGUUCGCCUACUUCAAGGCAAAUAAUCUCCCCAAAGCCAUCGCAGCUGCUCACACCUUUCUACUGAAGCAUCCUGAUGAUGAAAUGAUGAAGAGGAACAUGGCGUAUUAUAAGAGCCUGCCUGGUGCCGAGGACUACAUUAAAGACCUGGAAACCAAGUCGUAUGAGAGCCUGUUCAUCCGAGCAGUGCGAGCGUACAAUGGUGAGAACUGGAGAACAUCCAUCACAGACAUGGAGCUGGCCCUUCCCGACUUCUUCAAAGCCUUUUACGAGUGUCUCGCGGCCUGUGAGGGUUCCAGGGAGAUCAAGGACUUCAAGGAUUUCUACCUUUCCAUAGCAGAUCAUUAUAUAGAAGUUCUGGAAUGCAAAAUACAGUGUGAAGAGAACCUCACCCCAGUUAUAGGAGGCUAUCCAGUUGAGAAAUUUGUGGCUACCAUGUAUCAUUACUUGCAGUUUGCCUAUUAUAAGUUGAACGACCUGAAGAAUGCAGCCCCCUGUGCAGUCAGCUACCUGCUCUUUGAUCAGAAUGACAAGGUCAUGCAGCAGAACCUGGUGUAUUACCAGUACCACAGGGACACUUGGGGCCUCUCGGAUGAGCACUUCCAGCCCAGACCUGAAGCAGUUCAGUUCUUUAACGUGACCACACUCCAGAAGGAGCUGUAUGACUUUGCUAAGGAAAAUAUAAUGGAUGACGAUGAGGGAGAAGUUGUGGAAUACGUGGAUGACCUCUUAGAACUGGAGGAGACCAGCUAGCCCGCAGCAACCUAAGAGACUUCCUCCUGACGUUCAGGAAACACAGAUUCUUCGUCCUUUUCCCAACAGCCCAGGCUGUUGAUACCUCAGAGCCUUCCCUUUACUCUCCGAAGUGAAAGGGAAGCCCCCAUCUCUCUCACUACAUGUCACCAGGGGUGAGCCUGCCUUUCCCGUCUUCACACCUGCCACCUCGUGUUCACACCUAUCUUUCUUACCUUCUUUUUGAGAUGGAGUCUCGCUCUGUCGCCCAGGCUGGAGUCCUUUGGCACGUUCUCGGCUCACUGCAAUCUCUGCUUCCUGGGUUCAAGCGAUUCUCCUGCCUCAGCCUCCCAAGUACCUGGGAUUACGGGCAUGUGCCACCACGCCUGGCUAAUUUUGUAUUUUCAGUAGAGACGGGGUUUCGCCAUGUUGGCCAGGCUGGUCUUGAACUCUUGACUUCAGGUGAUCCACCUGCCUUGGCCUUCCACAGUGCUGGGAUUACAGGUGUGAGCCACCGUGCCCGGCCUCUUUCUCACCUUUACACCUGUCUUCUUAUCCUCACAUCUGUUUUCACACCUUCACCCCUGUCUUUCUCAUGUUCACACUUGUCUUCCCCGUGUUCAUACCUGCCUUUCUCACCAUUUUGGUUUGAAGGACAGUCUUCUCUGGCUUGUUUUUUUGUUUUGUUUCUUUUUUUUUCCCCCAGAAAAUCAGUAUUAUUUUUUAAAUAAGAAAAACAUUCCUAAAA